UACGAAGGGUGCUAGCGUUGUUCGGAAUCACUGGGCGUAAAGCGCGCGUAGGCGGCUUGUCAAGUCAGGGGUGAAAUCCCACAGCUCAACUGUGGAACUGCCUUUGAAACUAGCAAGCUUGAGUGUCGGAGGGGAUAGCGGAAUUGCUAAUGUAGAGGUGAAAUUCGUAGAUAUUAGCAGGAACACCGGUGGCGAAGGCGGCUAUCUGGACGACAACUGACGCUGAGGCGCGAAAGCACGGGGAUCAAACAGG
rnacentral:rRNA from 1 species